UGGCCCAUUUGCACCUGUCCCAAGAUAAACUAACUUUCCGUUGGACUUUAGGCCCACUUCUUGCAUUUAGUACAUGUCCUAAUAACUAACAAGGAAUAACAAGUAAAACAAAAGGGCUUAGACCCAAAGUAACAAAAUACAACUUAAAAAAGAAAGGUGGGCUUUUGGCCCAAUUUCUCCAACAAGCCAAUCUGCAGCGCUUUAUCAUGUAUAUUUAAUGUAUGCGGGCUCCCAGGACCUGUUCUUCAAUUUUUACAGCUGGCUGACUCUAUACUCGAAAAUGCAAGGAGGUAAUGGGAAGAGUCCAAAUAGGCUCGGCGAAGCAUCACAUGUAAAGAGAGCAAGAAAAAAAAGAAUUAAUAUACACUCCCUCAAAUGCCUUCUAUAAAUAAUAAAAUAAAGUUAUAAGAAAUAUAACCCACUGUCCACGCUAGACAGAAUAUGAUAAUUUGUAAAGAAAAAUCAGCUUCCAGUUGGCUCCCAAACCAAAAGACAAAUGUUCAUUCCAAAAAUGUGGAAAUCAUCACAAUAUUAACAAACCACAUAUAGGAAACAUAUACAAAUAAGAACUUUGAGGCCUACUGCCUAACAUGCUUAGACUUUAACCAAAGGCAUCGAUCCAACAUCAAGACGAUAAUGCAAUUAACAAAGUGGAAGAUGCUAUUUCGAGAUAGAUUAAACACAAAAGCUGAAAGGGUGGACAUGCUGAGACAGAUCAAUAGCAAUAGUAUGACAAAAACUAAUCAAAAAGCUAAAUCUAAAUGCCUCAAGAAAUCAGGUCACAGCACUCCAAACAGAACGACUAAAAGACGUGAUGAAUAAUAGACAACGAAAGCUGAAAUGAGAUUUAAUUAGAUGAUCACUAAGCCAGCUUAAAACAGAUAGAAAACCACAUCAGAACAAACACAAAAUCGAUGAACUGAAGCUUAAACGAGCAUGACAUUGCGACAACCUAUCAAGAUGAGUUGGCCGCAUAGAAAAUCCAGACAUAUAUAUGCUGAAAGCAGUUUAAAGAUCAAACUCAAAGGAAAGGGGAAAUUAACAGAACUAUACUCUAAAAGAAGACAUAGGACCAUAACAAAGUCGAACUGUAACACACCAAAACAAACUAGCUAAACUAUGUAAGCAUAAAAAAAACGAGAAGCUGAACCAAGAAACGAAAAGCCUCAACAUUCAAAGGACACCCAAGAGAAAGCUAAUGACAACCAAAGAUAGAAAAGAACUAACAACUAAAUAGGUAUAACCAUAUUUCAACGAACAAACAACGAACAAGGUUUCAACUCAACUAAAUGUAUACACAGAAGAAUCAGAAUGGCUCAAAGCUAAACAGACAAGGCAAAGAAAAGAGAUUUUUACCUCCUUUGGGGAAGCGAACCAGACUCGAGCUUCUGAGAAUGAUUCCACCACCACGUGAAACUCAGUGAAAGAGGCGUCCGAUGAAAGCUUUCAAGAAAAGAGAAUAGGAAACUCAAAAUGGUAGUUUGAGAUUAGAAUUCCUUCGUCUAAUUACUGUACCUUUGCUCGUUCCUCUUUAUGUAAAUUUUUCAUCUGUUUUUCCUUUCGC
rnacentral:lncRNA from 1 species